rnacentral:rRNA from 1 species
UACGAAGGGGGCUAGCGUUGCUCGGAAUCACUGGGCGUAAAGCGCACGUAGGCGGAUUGCUAAGUCAGGGGUGAAAUCCUGGAGCUCAACUCCAGAACUGCCUUUGAUACUGGCAACCUUGAGUCCGGGAGAGGUGAGUGGAACUGCGAGUGUAGAGGUGAAAUUCGUAGAUAUUCGCAAGAACACCAGUGGCGAAGGCGGCUUACUGGUCCGGUUCUGACGCUGAGGCGCGAAAGCGUGGGGAGCAAACAGG